AUUGAACGCUGGCGGCAUGCCUUACACAUGCAAGUCGAACGGCAGCACGGGAGCAAUCCUGGUGGCGAGUGGCGAACGGGUGAGUAAUACAUCGGAACGUACCUGGUAGUGGGGGAUAGCCCGGCGAAAGCCGGAUUAAUACCGCAUACGACCUGAGGGUGAAAGCGGGGGAUCGCAAGACCUCGCGCUAUUGGAGCGGCCGAUGGCAGAUUAGGUAGUUGGUGGGGUAAAGGCCUACCAAGCCUCCGAUCUGUAGCGGGUUUGAGAGGACGACCGGCCACAAGGGGAAUGAGACACGGCCCAGACUCCUAAGGGAGGCAGCAGUGGGGAAUGUUGGACAACGGGCGCAAGCCUGAUCCAGCCAUGCCGCGUGCGGGAAGAAGGCCUUCGGGUUGUAAACCGCUUUUGUCAGGGAAGAAAUACUCUGGGCUAAUACCCUGGGGUGAUGACGGUACCUGAAGAAUAAGCACCGGCUAACUACGUGCCAGCCGCCGCCGUAAUAC
rnacentral:rRNA from 1 species